UGUGUGGGUGUGGUGGUGUGUUGUGUUUGUGAGGUGGUGUGUCUGUGUGGUGGUGUGUUGUGUCGGUGUGGUGGUGUGUUGUGUUUGUGAGGUGGUGUGUCUGUGUGGUGGUGUGUUGUGUCGGUGUGGUGGUGUGUUGUGUUUGUGAGGUGGAGUGUCUGUGUGGUGGUGUGUUGUGUCGGUGUGGUGGUGUGUUGUGUCUGUGUGGUGGUGUGUAUGUGUUGUAGUGUGUAUGUGUGUUGAUGUAUUUGUGGGGUGGUGUGUUGUGUGCUGGUGUGUUGUGUCUGUGUG